UGAUAUGUUCGUAGUGUAGCGAACAGUAUAAUCAAAAGAAAUACACAAACAGA
ncrna:unclassified sequences 6A RNA